rnacentral:tRNA from 1 species
GCCUGGGUGGCUCAGUCGGUUGAGCGUCCGCCUUCGGCUCAGGUUGUGAUCUCACAGUUUGUGGGUUCAAGCCCCACGUCGGGCU